AGCGCAGCUAACGCGUGAAGUUGACCGCCUGGGGAGUACGGUCGCAAGAUUAAAACUCAAAGGAAUUGACGGGGACCCGCACAAGCGGUGGAUGAUGUGGAUUAAUUCGAUGCAACGCGAAAAACCUUACCUACCCUUGACAUGUCUGGAAUGCCGAAGAGAUUUGGCAGUGCUCGCAAGAGAACCGGAACACAGGUGCUGCAUGGCUGUCGUCAGCUCGUGUCGUGAGAUGUUGGGUUAAGUCCCGCAACGAGCGCAACCCUUGUCAUUAGUUGCUACGAAAGGGCACUCUAAUGAGACUGCCGGUGACAAACCGGAGGAAGGUGGGGAUGACGUCAAGUCCUCAUGGCCCUUAUGGGUAGGGCUUCACACGUCAUACAAUGGUCGGGACAGAGGGUCGCCAACCCGCGAGGGGGAGCCAAUCCCAGAAAACCCGAUCGUAGUCCGGAUCGCAGUCUGCAACUCGACUGCGUGAAGUCGGAAUCGCUAGUAAUCGCGGAUCAGCAUGUCGCGG
rnacentral:rRNA from 1 species